AUACAAUGGAGAGUUUGAUCCUGGCUCAGGAUGAACGCUAGCGGGAGGCCUAACACAUGCAAGCCGAGCGGUAGAUUACUUUCGGGUAAUUGAGAGCGGCGUACGGGUGCGGAACACGUG
rnacentral:rRNA from 1 species